UGAGGAAUAUUGGUCAAUGGGCGAGAGCCUGAACCAGCCAAGUCGCGUGAGGGAAGACGGUCCUACGGAUUGUAAACCUCUUUUGUCGGGGAGCAAUAAAGCGUACGCGUACGCAGAUGCGAGUACCCGAAGAAAAAGCAUCGGCUAACUCCGUGCCAGCAGCCGCGGUAAUACGGAGGAUGCGAGCGUUAUCCGGAUUUAUUGGGUUUAAAGGGUGCGCAGGCGGAAAGUGCAGGUCAGCGGUCAAACGACGGGGCUCAACCCCGUCUCGCCGUUGAAACUGUCUUUCUAGAGUGAGCGAGAAGUAUGCGGAAUGCGUGGUGUAGCGGUGAAAUGCAUAGAUAUCACGCAGAACUCCGAUUGCGAAGGCAGCAUACCGGCGCUCAACUGACGCUCAUGCACGAAAGCGUGGGUAUCGAACAGGAUUAGAUACCC
rnacentral:rRNA from 1 species